rnacentral:rRNA from 1 species
UACGUAGGGUGCAAGCGUUGUCCGGAAUUAUUGGGCGUAAAGAGCUCGUAGGCGGUCUGUCGCGUCGGCUGUGAAAUCCCGAGGCUCAACCUCGGGUCUGCAGUCGAUACGGGCAAACUGGAGUGUUGCAGGGGAGACUGGAAUUCCUGGUGUAGCGGUGAAAUGCGCAGAUAUCAGGAGGAACACCGGUGGCGAAGGCGGGUCUCUGGGCAACAACUGACGCUGGAGGAAGCGAAAGCGUGGGGAGCAAACAGG